AGCAGCCGCGGUAAUUCCAACUCCAAUAGCGUAUAUUAAAGUUGCUGCAGUUAAAAAGCUCGUAGUUGAAUUUCGGGACCAUCAUGUCGGUCGUGCCUCGGUACGUACCGGUAUUGUUGGUUUCUCCCUUCUGACGAACCAUGAUGUCAUUUAUUUGGUGUUGUGGGAAAUUAGGACUGUUACUUUGAAAAAAUUAGAGUGUUUAAAGCAGGCUCACGCUUGAAUACAUUAGCAUGGAAUAAUGAAAUAGGACGUUUGAUUCUAUUUUGUUGGUUUCUAGGAUCGACGUAAUGAUUAAUAGGGAUAGUUGGGGGCAUUAGUAUUCAAUUGUCAGAGGUGAAAUUCUUGGAUUUAUUGAAGACUAACUACUGCGAAAGCAUUUGCCAAGGAUGUUUUCAUUAAUCAAGAACGAAAGUUAGGGGAUCGAAGACGAUCAGAUACCGUCGUAGUCUUAACCAUAAACUAUGCCGACUAGGGAUCGGAUGAUGUUAAUUUUUAAUGACUCAUUCGGCGCCUUACG
rnacentral:rRNA from 1 species